UGACGGCCCACGGGCCCGACAGCGGCGCCGCCGCCGCCAAGCUGCGCCGCGCGCUCGCCGAGUUCCGCAUCCGCGGCGUCAAGACCAACAUCCCGUUCCUGCAGAACGUGCUG